ensembl:rRNA 5S_rRNA 5S ribosomal RNA
GCCUACGACCAUAUCACCCUGAAUGCGACCGAUCUCGUCUGAUCUCGGAAGCUAAGCAUGGUCGAGCCUGGUUAGUACAUGGAUGGGAGACUGCCUGGGAAUACCAGGUGUUGUUAGGCU